rnacentral:rRNA from 2 species
GAUAGUAACACGUGGGAACGUACCCUUCAGUUCGGAACAACCCAGGGAAACUUGGGCUAAUACCGAAUACGUCCGUAAGGAGAAAGAUUUAUCGCUGAAGGAUCGGCCCGCGUCUGAUUAGCUAGUUGGUGAGGUAACGGCUCACCAAGGCGACGAUCAGUAGCUGGUCUGAGAGGAUGAUCAGCAUCACUGGGACUGAGACACGGCCCAGACUCCUACGGGAGGCAGCAGUGGGGAAUAUUGGACAAUGGGCGCAAGCCUGAUCCAGCCAUGCCGCGUGGAUGAUGAAGGCCCUAGGGUUGUAAAGUCCUUUCGACGGGGAAGAUAAUGACGGUACCCGUAGAAGAAGCCCCGGCUAACUUCGUGCCAGCAGCCGCGGUAAUACGAAGGGGGCUAGCGUUGCUCGGAAUCACUGGGCGUAAAGCGCACGUAGGCGGACUCUUAAGUCGGUGGUGAAAUCCUGGAGCUCAACUCCAGAACUGCCUUCGAUACUGAGAGUCUCGAGUCCGGGAGAGGUGAGUGGAACUGCGAGUGUAGAGGUGAAAUUCGUAGAUAUUCGCAAGAACACCAGUGGCGAAGGCGGCUCACUGGCCCGGUACUGACGCUGAGGUGCGAAAGC